GCUUGGCCCUAAAUCCUGAUACUUACCCCCACCAAAGUAUCCGCCUGAGAACUACGAGCACAAACGCUUAAAACUCUAAGGACUUGGCGGUGCUCCAAACCCACCUAGAGGAGCCUGUUCUGUAAUCGAUAACCCACGAUACACCCAACCUUCUCUCGCCCCAAGCAGCCUACAUACCGCCGUCCCCAGCCCACCUUCUCUGAGAGCACAACAGUGAGCACAACAACACCGUUAACAAGACAGGUCAAGGUAUAGCCCAUGAGGAGGAAGAAAUGGGCUACAUUUUCUAAAAUAGAAAACGAAAAGGGACCUGAAACACCCCCUAGAAGGAGGAUUUAGCAGUAAAGAGGAAUAAGAGUGCCCUCUUUAACUCGGCCCUGGAG
rnacentral:rRNA from 1 species